GCCGGGCAUGGUGGCACGUGCCUGUAAUCCCAGCUACUUGGGAGGCUGAGGCAGAAUCACUUGAACCCAGGAGGCAGAGGUUGCAGUGAGCCAAGAUCGCACCACUGCACUUCAGCUUGGGUGACAGAGAGAGACUCAGUCUCCAGAAAAAAAAGAGAAAUAGGGUCUUGCUUUGUCACCCAGGGUGAAGUGCAGUGGUGCGAUCACGGCUCACUGCAGCCUCAAACUCCUGGGCUCAAGAGAUCCUCCU
rnacentral:sRNA from 1 species